AGUGGGGAAUUUUGGACAAUGGGCGCAAGCCUGAUCCAGCCAUGCCGCGUGCAGGAUGAAGGCCUUCGGGUUGUAAACUGCUUUUGUACGGAACGAAAAAGUUCUCUCUAAUACAGGGGGCGAAUGACGGUACCGUAAGAAUAAGCACCGGCUAACUACGUGCCAGCAGCCGCGGUAAUACGUAGGGUGCGAGCGUUAAUCGGAAUUACUGGGCGUAAAGCGUGCGCAGGCGGUGAUGUAAGACAGAUGUGAAAUCCCCGGGCUCAACCUGGGAACUGCAUUUGUGACUGCAUCGCUGGAGUGCGGCAGAGGGGGAUGGAAUUCCGCGUGUAGCAGUGAAAUGCGUAGAUAUGCGGAGGAACACCGAUGGCGAAGGCAAUCCCCUGGGCCUGCACUGACGCUCAUGCACGAAAGCGUGGGGAGCAAA
rnacentral:rRNA from 1 species